UACAGAGGUCCCAAGCGUUGUUCGGAUUCACUGGGCGUAAAGGGCGCGUAGGCGGCUUGCACAGUCAGGCGUGAAAUUCCUGGGCUCAACCUGGGGACUGCGCUUGAGACGUGUGGGCUUGAGUGGGGAAGAGGGUCGUGGAAUUCCCAGUGUAGAGGUGAAAUUCGUAGAUAUUGGGAAGAACACCGGUGGCGAAGGCGGCGACCUGGUCCUUGACUGACGCUGAGGCGCGAAAGCGUGGGGAGCAAACAGG
rnacentral:rRNA from 1 species